rnacentral:rRNA from 1 species
CUACGUGCCAGCAGCCGCGGUAAUACGGAGGAUGCGAGCGUUAUCCGGAUUUAUUGGGUUUAAAGGGUGCGUAGGUUGUUCGGUAAGUCAGCGGUGAAACCUGAGCGCUCAACGUUCAGCCUGCCGUUGAAACUGCCGGGCUUGAGUUCAGUGGCGGCAGGCGGAAUUCGUGGUGUAGCGGUGAAAUGCAUAGAUAUCACGAGGAACUCCGAUUGCGAAGGCAGCUUGCCAUACUGCGACUGACACUGAAGCACGAAGGCGUGGGUAUCAAACAGGAUUAGAUACCCUGGUAGUCCACGCAGUAAACGAUGAUUGCUAGGUGUUAGACCCUUUCCGGGGUUUAGUGCCGUAGCUAACGCGUUAAGUGCCCCACCUGGGGAGUACGGCCGCAAGGCUGAAACUCAAAGGAAUUGACGGGGGCCCGCACAAGCGGAGGAACAUGUGGUUUAAUUCGAAGCAACGCGAAGAACCUUACCAGGUCUUGACAUCCCUCUGACCGCUCUAGAGAUAGAGUUUUC